UUCCUAGCUGAAAAGUGCAUCUAUAUUCAUAGUUCUUUGAAUUGUUGGAGUUUUGGUGUAAGUGUAUAGAGAGAGAGAGAGAGAGAGAGAGAGAGAGAGAGAGAGAGAGAGAGAGAGAGAGAGAGGAGAGAGUGAGAGUAGUAGAGUAGUACGUACGUACGUACGUAGUAACGUAACGUUAACUUACUUACGUUACGUUACUUAAGUUAGUUAGUNNNNNNNNNNNNNNNNNNNNGUAGUACGUAGUAGUAGUACGUACGUAGUAGUAGUAGUAGUAGUAGUAUGUAGUAUAGUAGUAUAUAUAUAGUAUAUAUUAUUNNNNUAUAUAUGAGAGAGAGAGAGAGAGGUACAUGAGCUUGUAAGGGAGUGUGUUGAGUUCAGGUUGAAGCUCUGAAAAUUGGGGCAGGUUGAUCUGCUGAGGCUAGUUGGUGUUGUGCUAUAUUUCUUGCUUGGGUUUGUAAGAAUAAAUGUGAUGAUGGAAGCAGGUGGUCAUUUGUUUCCCUUUAUUGUGAUGGUGAUGUUGAAUCAUAAUUUCAAUUUGAAGCCAUGCAUCUUCUGUUUGAGUUGCUUUGGAUCUCCUUUCUCUCUCUCAGCUACAUUUUAUUUCCACAAGUGGCAGAUAGUAAAAGUUCGAAUAACUUGAGUUUGUGUAGCGCAACUUGCUCUUGGCUUGG
rnacentral:lncRNA from 1 species